rnacentral:lncRNA from 1 species
AGAAUUCAACCAAUAACAACGGAAAUUGCAACCAAAAUCAACAAACAAUUGGAUAUAAUUAGCUGGAAAUCAAUAACCCAAGCUGUAAUUCUAUUAAUUAAGCUGAAAUUUACACAGAAAUAACAAAAUAAACUGAGAAAGAAGGGGACAUAAUGGCAGCAGCAGAAGACAGGAAAAAGUGCAGAAGGAGGAGAAAUAAGAGGAAGAAAAGGACAGAGAAGAAGAUACCAGAGAAAAAGAAGGAGAAACAGGAGAAGAAGACUGGCAACAGCGGUGGACGCCAAGGAUGAAGAAGACACGAUUCGAUUCAAUAUCCAUCCUCCUUCCAAAUGAAG